rnacentral:rRNA from 1 species
ACAGCUAGAGUUUGAUCCUGGCUCAGGAUGAACGCUAGCUACAGGCUUAACACAUGCAAGUCGAGGGGCAGCAUGGCGGUUGCUUGCGACCGCUGAUGGCGACCGGCGGAUGGGUGAGUAACGCGUAUCCAACCUGCCCCGCUCCCGGGGACAGCCCUUAGAAAUGAGGAUUAACCCCCGAUGGUGUGGUUAUGCCGCAUGGUUUUUCCACCAAAUGCGAAGGAGCGGGAUGGGGAUGCGUUCCAUUAGGCAGCAGGCGGGGUAACGGCCCACCUGGCCCGCGAUGGAUAGGGGUUCUGAGAGGAAGGUCCCCCACACUGGAACUGAGACACGGUCCAGACUCCUACGGGAGGCAGCAGUGAGGAAUAUUGGUCAAUGGGCGUGAGCCUGAACCAGCCAAGUAGCGUGCGGGAUGAAGGCCCUACGGGUUGUAAACCGCUUUUGCGCGGGGAUAAACUGGGGGACGCGUCCCCCCUUGCAGGUACCGCGCGAAUAAGGACCGGCUAAUUCCGUGCC